GACGAACGCUGGCGGCGCGCCUAACACAUGCAAGUCGAACGAGCGAGAGGGAGCUUGCUUUCUCGAGCGAGUGGCGAACGGGUGAGUAACGCGUGAGGAACCUGCCUCAAAGAGGGGGACAACAGUUGGAAACGACUGCUAAUACCGCAUAAGCCCACGGUGCCGCAUGGCACAGAGGGAAAAGGAGCAAUCCGCUUUGAGAUGGCCUCGCGUCCGAUUAGCUAGUUGGUGAGGUAAUGGCCCACCAAGGCGACGAUCGGUAGCCGGACUGAGAGGUUGAACGGCCACAUUGGGACUGAGACACGGCCCAGACUCCUACGGGAGGCAGCAGUGGGGAAUAUUGCACAAUGGGGGAAACCCUGAGGCAGCGACGCCGCGUGGAGGAAGAAGGUCUUCGGAUUGUAAACUCCUGUUGUUGGGGAAGAUAAUGACGGUACCCAACAAGGAAGUGACGGCUAACUACGUG
rnacentral:rRNA from 1 species